UACGUAGGGUGCAAGUGUUAAUCGGAAUUACUGGGCGUAAAGCGUGCGCAGGCGGUUUUGUAAGUCUGUCGUGAAAGCCCCGGGCUCAACCUGGGAAUUGCGAUGGAGACUGCAAGGCUUGAAUCUGGCAGAGGGGGGUAGAAUUCCACGUGUAGCAGUGAAAUGCGUAGAGAUGUGGAGGAACACCGAUGGCGAAGGCAGCCCCCUGGGUCAAGAUUGACGCUCAUGCACGAAAGCGUGGGGAGCAAACAGG
rnacentral:rRNA from 1 species